rnacentral:sRNA from 1 species
UCGUUGUUUCGUCUUCGUACGCAACGGACGUUUUUGGUAAUUUUGUCGUGGCAUAGAUAGACACUCACAUACACACACACAAACAGCCGAGAACGAGAGAAUACUUGUGAGAACGGGACUGAAAGGAAAAGUUUGAACUGUCGGGCUUAAAAGUUUAGUUCGUACAUAGGUUCGUUGGUUGGUUUGUUUGGCGGCCGUUUCCGCCGCUUUGUUGUGUUUGUGUUAGCGGCAUUGGCAUUUGUUUUGUAGCUCACGUGUGUGAGUGUUGUACAUGCGGACGUAUGCUGGCGUGAGUGCAAGCUAGUGUAUGUUUUACGUGUUACGUGUGUGGCAAACAAACAAUAUACACAUUGGACUGAACUAUUAAAUCACAGAGAUUGCCACCUUCAAAAGGCAAAAGGUGAAAUAUUUAUCAACUAACCCGACGCUGUUGCUUUGAUCCCUCCAGGUGAGUUCUUUGAUUUUGUAUCUCCUUUAUGAGGUGUGUAUAUUUGUUUGAAAUGUCAUAAAUGACUAAAUCAACAAAAACUUAAACACCUUACCGAAGCAGGUUGCCGAAGAGGCAAACCAAACGCAAUUUGAAACAAAAGGACACGUGUAAUAUUUUCCGUUCAAAUGAAUCUCUAUUAAAUCGAUGUCUUCUGCACAUGCCAAGUGUGUAGGUAUGGUUGGCUGGGUAUGUGUUUGAGAGUCAAAGCCAAAGCCAAGAAGGACAUAAUGGCUGUCGGUUUUCCAAUCACAAUACCCUUAGAGUUGCUUAGACACGUUCCAUGCGUGAUUGUUUUACUCUCAUCACACACGUUCACAUAUCGUACUGACACAUCUGCAGGAAGACAUGGCGGACGCCUUUUAUUAGCCUACAUCCUGUGACAGGUGUA